CCUACGGGCGGCAGCAGUGAGGAAUAUUGGUCAAUGUGCGAGAGCCUGAACCAGCCAAGUCGCGUGAGGGAGUACUGCCCUAUGGGUUGUAAACCUCUUUUGUCGGGGAGCAAAAGCCGGACGUGUCCGGCUGUGAGAGUACCCGAAGAAAAAGCAUCGGCUAACUACGUGCCAGCAGCCGCGGUAAUACGGAGGAUGCGAGCGUUAUCCGGAUUUAUUGGGUUUAAAGGGUGCGCAGGCGGAUGUUUAAGUCAGCGGUAAAAUCGUGGGGCUCAACCCCAUCCAGCCGUUGAAACUGGGGAUCUAGAGUGUGCGAGAGGUAUGCGGAAUGCGUGGUGUAGCGGUGAAAUGCAUAGAUAUCACGCAGAACCCCGAUUGCGAAGGCAGCAUACCGGUGCACAACUGACGCUCAGGCACGAAAGCGUGGGUAUCGAACAGGAUUAGAUACCCUUGUAGUC
rnacentral:rRNA from 1 species